AUCAAAAACAUGGUUUUUAGAAUUUAUUUAAGAUCAGGUCUGACUCAAUGAUUUUAGUUAAUUAAAUAGCUGCGGUAUUUUGACCGUACUAAGGUAGCAUAAUCAAUUGCUUAUUAAUUGUAAGCUGGAAUGAAGGAUUUAAUAAAAUGCAAACUUUUUUAUUAAAAUUUUAUUUGAAUUUAAUUUUUGAGUGAAAAAGCUUAAAUGAGGAUAAGGGACGAGAAGACCCUAUAGAUUUUUAUAUUUACAUAAGUUUACAUUUAUUUAAUAAAUUUGAGGGAAAUUUAGGUGAAUAUUUGGGUGGGGAACCAAUAAAAUUAAUAAACUUUUAUUAUUAAUUAUACUAAUAGGUAGAUUAAGUUGAUUAAGGAGAAUUAUAACAAGAUAAAAAUACCUUAGGGAUAACAGCGUAAUGAUCUUUAGAAGAUCUUAUUCUAUAGAUUGGAUUGCGACCUCGAUGUU
rnacentral:rRNA from 1 species